AACGCCCCUCGUAAAUGAGCGCACCUUCAAUUCACCGACCCGAUGUACAUUGACGUCGACUAGACAGGAGCAGAGUGACGGGGACAGGACCGUGUUUUGGAAAGACAUGUGCGAUUCGUUUAUCAUUGCGAGCUAAAAAGCAACAUUGUGCAUAUAAAGUGCUGAAUUAUUGAUAAUUUGCGAUAAUUUUCCCUUAAAUUAGAAUUGAAAAUUUGAUAUCCUACUUACGAACUACGGUAAAAUUUGAUAUUAUGUGCUACAGAUCAUGCAUUAACAUUAAAUUCACUUUUCAGUAAAAGUUAUAAAUCUUCCUAAAGAUCAGCCGCUGGUUUCAAGUUAAUUUAUGAAUUAGAACAUGUUAUAACGAUACAGCCAACAGAGCGAAGUUAUAUUUAUCGCCCGGGAUAAAAACGCAAGAAAUUUACAAAACGAAACUUUAACGUUGGCCUCAAUAAACCUGUUUAAAAUUUCGGAACAUAGUUUUCUUCAGUUGCUAGCGCAACAGAU